GCCCAUGUGGCUCAGGGGUAGAGCACUCCCUUGGUAAGGGAGAGGUCGGCAGUUCGAAUCUGCUCAUGGGCACCA
rnacentral:tRNA from 2 species